UAGCUUGCUACCUGACCUAGCGGCGGACGGGUGAGUAAUGCUUAGGAAUCUGCCUAUUAGUGGGGGACAACAUUCCGAAAGGAAUGCUAAUACCGCAUACGCCCUACGGGGGAAAGCAGGGGAUCUUCGGACCUUGCGCUAAUAGAUGAGCCUAAGUCAGAUUAGCUAGUUGGUGGGGUAAAGGCCUACCAAGGCGACGAUCUGUAGCGGGUCUGAGAGGAUGAUCCGCCACACUGGGACUGAGACACGGCCCAGACUCCUACGGGAGGCAGCAGUGGGGAAUAUUGGACAAUGGGCGAAAGCCUGAUCCAGCCAUGCCGCGUGUGUGAAGAAGGCCUUUUGGUUGUAAAGCACUUUAAGCGAGGAGGAGGCUACUUGGAUUAAUACUCUAGGAUAGUGGACGUUACUCGCAGAAUAAGCACCGGCUAACUCUGUGCCAGCAGCCGCGGUAAUACAGAGGGUGCGAGCGUUAAUCGGAUUUACUGGGCGUAAAGCGUGCGUGGGCGGCUUUUUAAGUCGGAUGUGAAAUCCCUGAGCUUAACUUAGGAAUUGCAUUCGAUACUGGGAAGCUAGAGUAUGGGAGAGGAUGGUAGAAUUCCAGGUGUAGCGGUGAAAUGCGUAGAGAUCUGGAGGAAUACCGAUGGCGAAGGCAGCCAUCUGGCCUAAUACUGACGCUGAGGUACGAAAGCAUGGGGAGCAAACAGGAUUAGAUACCCUGGUAGUCCAUGCCGUAAACGAUGUCUACUAGCCGUUGGGGCCUUUGAGGCUUUAGUGGCGCAGCUAACGCGAUAAGUAGACCGCCUGGGGAGUACGGUCGCAAGACUAAAACUCAAAUGAAUUGACGGGGGCCCGCACAAGCGGUGGAGCAUGUGGUUUAAUUCGAUGCAACGCGAAGAACCUUACCUGGUCUUGACAUAGUAAGAACUUUCCAGAGAUGGAUUGGUGCCUUCGGGAACUUACAUACAGGUGCUGCAUGGCUGUCGUCAGCUCGUGUCGUGAGAUGUUGGGUUAAGUCCCGCAACGAGCGCAACCCUUUUCCUUAUUUGCCAGCGGGUUAAGCCGGGAACUUUAAGGAUACUGCCAGUGACAAACUGGAGGAAGGCGGGGACGACGUCAAGUCAUCAUGGCCCUUACGACCAGGGCUACACACGUGCUACAAUGGUCGGUACAAAGGGUUGCUACCUAGCGAUAGGAUGCUAAUCUCAAAAAGCCGAUCGUAGUCCGGAUUGGAGUCUGCAACUCGACUCCAUGAAGUCG
rnacentral:rRNA from 1 species